rnacentral:rRNA from 1 species
GAUGAACGCUGGCGGCGUGCCUAAUACAUGCAAGUCGAGCGAACGGACGAGAAGCUUGCUUCUCUGAUGUUAGCGGCGGACGGGUGAGUAACACGUGGAUAACCUACCUACAAGACUGGGACAACUUCGGGAAACCGGAGCUAAUACCGGAUAAUAUUUUGAACCGCAUGGUUCUAAAGUGAUAGACGGUCUUGCUGUCACUUAUAGAUGGACCCGCGCUGCAUUAGCUAGUUGGUAAGGUAACGGCUUACCAAGGCAACGAUGCAUAGCCGACCUGAGAGGGUGCUAUGCCACCCUGGAAGUGGGACACGGUCCAGACUACUGCGGGAGGGAACGGUAGGGAAUCUUCCGCAGUGGGCGAAAACCUGACAGUGCCACGCGGCGUACGGGAGGAAGGUCUUCGGCUCGUAACAGACAGUUAGUAGGGAAGAACAUAUGUGUAAUUAACUGUGCACAUCUUGACGGUACCUAGUCAAAAAGCCACGGCUAACUUCGUG